rnacentral:tmRNA from 1 species
GGGGGCGUUUUGGAUUCGACGGGGGUUGGUAUUGGCAGCAGAAGCGAGCCCGGGACCAUGGCCCGGUGAAAACAUGGAACCUAAAGUAAACGCAAACGAUAACUUAGCUUACGCUGCUUAAUUAAAGCAGCGCAUCCGCCCGGUUCGCUCCCGGGGAGCCGGAGUUCGGGUGUCGUUAAACCGGGAUACUCCUGCCAAGAUGGCUGAGCGAGGCAGGAGGAAGUCUAUCGGCCUGGUUCGUCAGGUUUAGGCUCCGGAAGGCCUGAUGAACGAGAACAACUCUGGAGCUACGCUCGUAGAAACUGCUGUGGGUACACCUUCGGACGCGGGUUCGAAUCCCGCCGCCUCCACCA